GAAACAUGAUGUGAUUUCUUUGGACUCAGGAAGUUCUCAGAAGGAGCUGGGCUCAGCUAAUGCCAAAUGUCAAAUUCAAUAUUGAAGUAGCAGAACUCAAAACCACUAAGAGACCUGGUCCAGAAAUCAAACAAGUGAAUCAAAUUAAAAGAAACAAUCUAGGAGACCAAAUCAAAAACACGUCUCGGCUACACUGCUGUGCAGUUUAGUGUUUGAACUCGUUUAGAGGGAUCAAGAUGGGUUGCGGAGAGCUGGAGCCUAACCCGGCAGACACCGGGCGCAAGGCAAGGCAAGGCAGGGCAAGGCAGGACUACACCCCUCUGCCUCACCUUUGCCUGGAUGGUGGUCCAGUAAUUUAGCCUUCUGCAUGAUCAGCGCACGCACCAAGUGUAUCAGAUCCCAAAGUGUGUCCAGCCCCCUGCCGGUGAGAUGAGAUGAAAUUCACGAAUGUACACGAGCCUGGCUUUUUUUUUUUUUUUUUUUUUUUUUACAUUGUAAAUUGCGACUCGCGGUGUGCGGGCAGCCCCCAUCCUGUUACACUUGCAUACUUGAUCGGUAGGUUUGGCGUUCGUAACUCUGAGGUUCUGCUGAACGUCACUUUAUAAGGCCCACAGCUCUUAAUCGUUGUGUUUUUAUCAAAGACCUACAGAGCUCCCUAGGUUAGGAGUGAAAUUGUGUCUGGUGCAUAGGAAGGAGUCUCGGAUGUCUUUAAGCAAAUCGGUCACUAAUGAAAUUUUCACCAACCGUUUGACUUUUCUCUUUACAGCUAUUCGUUUUUUUUUUUUGGUUGUUUUUUUUUUUAUAGAAGGUGUUUUUAAUUAAAACCAUUGUUUUGGUUGUGUCUGGCUGCAGGCGUGCGCAGGUUAAAUUCAAUGGGGUUUCCACUCCAAGAAACACCCCCGAAACAAAAAUACAGCUUUCUUUCAAAAUCCGACACUUCAUUUCUGCUAAUGUCAAAACUAAUUAACACUGUUGCGCAUGCAUUUGUUCCCUGUAAUGGCUUUUGCAGUUGCUCGCCCUGCUCACGGUGUGAGACGUUUGCAAUGAUUAAUGGUUAUACCCAAGUCAAUAAAAGCCACCUCGCUGUAGUUCAAAUACCAAGCGUAAGGAAUUUUGUAAUGGUUUUUGUGUUAGAACGGAUUAUUCUUUUAUAUGAUGUUAUUUGCUGUUACAAUUUGAACAAAAAAGGAAAUGUGAUAGUCCAUACUCAUAUUGUUUGAAUAUUUGGAAUAUAUGAUACUUUCAAUGGAGAGAUAUUGAGCACAUGGCUUGGGCGGGGUAUUUUGGAAUACAAUGUGUGCCUGAAUACAUUGCAGGUUGACUAAACAGAGGGCAAAUCUGACCAUUUAUGGAGAUUUGUGAAGAGGGUUCUGCUUGGUUGCAUGGGGGGGAUGAGAGAAUCUCGAAGAUAACAAGAUGCAAAUGAAUGUUUUUAAGGCUUGAAGACUUCCCACGUACAGGUAUAAUGAGGAUGGGGGUCAUAAAUGACAUCAUUAAAAGGGUGUGUUUUGAAAUCUACAAAACUAAAGUGAAAACAUUGUUCGGGGCUCAGUUCUAUCAAUCUCACUGCAACCCAGAGUGACA